rnacentral:lncRNA from 1 species
UGAAAAUAUAACCAUUUUGUUCCAAUUGCAGAGCAUUUUUAGCUUGAGUCAAUCAGAUCCUUUUCCCAGAGGCACACAAGGGCAGCACAGCAGCUUAGCAGCUUUUUGGGAGCUCAGUUCAAGGGAGAUGUUCUGUCUCAGAGCUGUCCAUGGUGCUUUUCAGUGGCUGUGAACAGAUGCUGCACAGCUCUCUAGAGAAUAUCAGGAAGAGCCAAGAGGAAGCAGCAUGCAGAGUGCAUCCAGGCCUGUGGCACUCCAGAGCUGUGGCCCUUGGGAAUUCUGCUGACAGUUCUGCCACUGCCAAGCAGCCCCGAGACACCGAGUGCUGAGCCCAGCGAUCCUGCACGGGCAGCGCCGCUGACAAAGCCCGCGAAGAGGCGAAGGAGCCGCGGGAAGCGCUCCCUCCCCGGCCGCUGCCUCCCGGAAGAUGGAGCUGUUUCCCUGACACAGCUGAUGGAGACCUGGUAAGUUCAGUGUCACGUGCAGUUGGGGAAUUCUUACAGAUGUCAGAGAUUUCUUCUUCACAGCUGAGAGAAAGAAAUGAGCCCACUGACCAUAAUUAUUUUAUUAUAAAAUAAGAG